GGUGGUAAUGCCGGAUGUUCCAGUUGAUCGCAUGGUCUUCUGGGAAAGCUUUCGCGGUAUGGGAUGGGGUCGCGUCCUAUCAGCUUGACGGCGGGGUAACGGCCCACCGUGGCUUCGACGGGUAGCCGGCCUGAGAGGGCGACCGGCCACAUUGGGACUGAGAUACGGCCCAGACUCCUACGGGAGGCAGCAGUGGGGAAUAUUGCACAAUGGGCGCAAGCCUGAUGCAGCGACGCCGCGUGAGGGAUGGAGGCCUUCGGGUUGUAAACCUCUUUUAUCGGGGAGCAAGCGUGAGUGAGUUUACCCGUUGAAUAAGCACCGGCUAACUACGUGCCAGCAGCCGCGGUAAUACGUAGGGUGCAAGCGUUAUCCGGAAUUAUUGGGCGUAAAGGGCUCGUAGGCGGUUCGUCGCGUCCGGUGUGAAAGUCCAUCGCUUAACGGUGGAUCCGCGCCGGGUACGGGCGGGCUUGAGUGCGGUAGGGGAGACUGGAAUUCCCGGUGUAACGGUGGAAUGUGUAGAUAUCG
rnacentral:rRNA from 1 species